UCCAUUUUAUUUCGGUUUUCCCGUUUGUAUGUACUUGAGAGAGUGAGACCCACAGAUCUAUCUGCCUACUGAACAUCCUCUCCAGGGUCUCACAGUCUCUAGACUGGACACAUGUCCACAAGCUCACCGCCAUGACCAACCCUUACAAAAAACCAGAUCCUGCCUUCCUCUCAUAUCCCUACAUCACAUUCAGAGCAGUGGCAAGAUUUCUUCGUGGCAGACCUGAGAUCAAAGGGAAGGACCUUUGUGGAAGUCGCUCUGCUAAGGGCAGAAGAGCCCAACGGACGCCAAAGGACCAGCCAGCAAUGGGCAGUGGCAUAGCGUAGCUACGGAACCAAAAAUCAGGCCUUCCUCCACUUUCAUGUCAUCAUUUAAGCCUUGUCAUUAGUUGCUGUGGAGUCGGCUCUAACUUAUGGUGACCUUAUGAAUAAAAGAAUGAAAUGUCACCCACUCCUGCGCCAUCUUUAUGAUCAUUGUGCGAACCAGUUCCUGAGGUGAUUUCAGCUUUUCUCAAGAUGUACAGACACAACCAAGUACGUCAAAAACCUUUCCAACCUGUUUGGAAAAAUGAGACCUAUGACAGAUCAUGACAUUUAAACUCUCACCCGUUGAAAGUAACUCUAGUUAUUCAUGUAGUUCCCUAAUUUUUAUUUUGAUACGUAAGACUUCCAGAUUAUUUUACUUACAGCAUGUCACUGAUCCUCAGAGCUUAGGCAGAUAGCCUGCAUUUGGUCCACCUUGUGCAUAUAGGAACACAGCUUUUCAUGUGCUGAUUUUCUCCAUGACUUGAAAAGCUUCACCAACAUGUUAGUAGAGGUUGUGUGUAGUUGUUGGCUUUUGGGGGACCCUUCUUUUAACUUUUUUAUGCUCUCCAGAUCUUUCUAAAAUGAGAAUGCAUUUUUUUUUUUUCUUUUUAACAGUUGAAAACCUUUAAUAAAGAAUGUAUCCUAUUGGGUUUAUUUUCUUUAAAAAAAAAAAAAAAAAAGACAUCAAUUAGCCUGCCUAGCUU